GAAGCUUUUCCAUCUUGUCAUAGCUGAACGAGUCUCUCUACAUCACCAGUGAACUAUCAGUGAGUUUCAUCUGUCGCAGGACCCUUGGAGGAAUUUGAAGAAGAUCCUCUGCGCUUUACAGUGCCAAAGAACGCUCGUCUUAAGAGAAUAACCGCGCCCUCUGCUGAUAUGGGUGUAAAAAUGCUCCAGUGCUUUCCCUUCUACAGACGCUGCAAGGAGAGGUGCAAAAGACAGUGCCCUCCUGAGACUGCUGUAGUGAGUGAAGAGUUGAAGCCCCGUCUGUGCUCCACCACGUCCUGGGGCAGUGAAGGGGACAGCAGCAGCGGCAUCAGCUGCCCACAGGCCUACUUCUCCCACAAAGCCCGGCUCUCACUGCGGCACCAGAUGGACAGUAACAUCAAUGCAGUGGACGCCACAUACUAACAUUGCCCUGCAAGCGGUUUCUGGAGAAUCCUUAAAAAUAGACUUCCGACAUACAGCUGCCAUCCAGCUUCAAUCUCUUUCUGGAGAGCAUUUGAGGGGAAAAUGGAAGAUCAUGAGCCAAGCACAAGGAAAGCGUGCCUCUCCUUGGAUGGACACUCGUGUGAGGGCCAGCUGUAUGUACUGCCACAACGAGUGUUUGAAUUUCUCUAACACAAUGGUACAGCUGAGUGCUCUUUGGUGAAAGAGGAAUUUGCUAAACACUCUUGAUGUUGAGAGAAUUGAGAGAUGUUUACAUGAUCACCAGCAAGUGCUUUUUGUCUAGCCUGCAGCAUCUGUUCUACUCGGUUUGCUAUAUGAGCAUCUAUGUGAGGAGGACGCUUCUGGUAGCUUUUCUGACCACACACUGACAAUUAUGCCAGUUUUGAGUCAGAUAUGCAUUUGUUCAGUGGUUUACCCAUUAAUACACUUGUAAAAAAUCAAUGCUGAUGUUUUAUAUGACACAGAAAGCAGGUUUACUAUAGCCUUUUUGUUAACUUUUUAAGUGAGUGCCAUUUUCUUGACCCAACAAAUUAUACAGUAUAUUGAGACCCAUUAACAGUGUGCAAAGUAGGCAUUGGCCAGUGUAUGAUUCUGACGGUAUGAUAACUUUGGAUAAAAAUAACACAAUUUUUCCCAGUUGAACACAAUAUAUUUGAUUUUGGGAAACAUUUGUCAUAUUUUGGAGCAGUAAACAUGUCAGGCUAAAUAAUUAAAAUAAGUCAUUGACUUCUGCUGUCUUGAUUUGUUUUAAAAAAACAGAAUUCUUUACAAUUAAAAAAGGCCUCUUUGGAUAUCUUGGAUACUGUCGUCCUUAAAAUCUAAACAAAAAAAAUCUUAUAAUCAUAAACCUUAGGAACGCUAUAGCAGAAAAUGUUGGCGGUUUUAAAUCAUUGACUUUUCCAAACUGCAGUAUACCUAUAAAACAGUUAUCGACCCAUGCCUAGCGCACAGCUCAGAGUAUAGAAUCUCAAAUAAAUAAAAAUCACUGUUCAUGAAUGCAUUAAUUUAAGGUGUUUUCAGAAUAUACAUUACCGGUCAAUAGAUUGGGCUCUUUUUUUAAUGUUUUUUUUUAGAAAUAUAUUCUGUUCAUCAAGAUUAAACACAAAAGGGGUGUUAAAUAUUUCUAAAACAAAUUAAAUAACUGCUUUCUUAUUGUAUGUAGUUUCAAAUAAGAUGAUUACUCCAGUCAUCAUUGCUUUUAUUACAAUUACCAUUACAUUUAUAUUAAUAAGAUUAAUUAAUAUUAGAGUGAUUUCUGAAGGAUCAUGUGACUCUUAAGAAUGGAGUAAUGAAGCUGAAAAUUCAUAUUUAAAACCACUGGAAUAAAUGAUUAAAUUAAAUGAUAAACUACUUUUGAACAGUUAUUUUAAAGUGCAAUUACAGUUCACAAUUUUACAAUUUGUACUGUAUUUUUGAUUAAAUAAAUGCAGUCUUGGUGAGCAGGAGAAGCUUAUUUUAAAACAAUCUCACUGACCCCAAAAUUUUGACCAUUGGUGUUUAUGUUUUUAAAGUAAUUUUUUCUGACUUAAAUCUCACAAUUAAAUCCACUGAUAUGAAGAUGAUUGAAAUAUUAUUUUGUCUACUUUCUAUUGCAUGUUUAAACUGAGUGACAUAAAUCAAGUUUUUUUUUUUUUGUCAUGAUCCACUCAUUGCUUUUUUUUUUACAUGCUAAUGUCAUGGAUUUGACUGUCUUUGUCUUUGCACAUGUAUUAAGUGUUUGUUUGUUUAGGUGUUAAACCUAACCCUGAAAAGAAAACUUACACUGUUACACCUUAAGUCAUAAUUACUAUAAAAGAGAAAAUAUUUUUUGUAUGUUUUGUAUAAAAGGUGCAAUUUUCUAAAAAAAAAUUACUUGUAAUCAUUUAAAAUGACAGUGAACUAAAUACAUAACAUAAAAUCGCAGAUGUACUUUUGAUUUAACUGAUUUUCACACAACAAUAAAUCUUUUUGAAAAAGAAAAAAAAAAAAAAAAAAAAAA
rnacentral:lncRNA from 1 species